AUGUUUAUUGUCCCCUCUCGCUCGGUCUGGACUCUGCAGGUAGGGCGGGCUCUUUUUCUGAGUGAGAACACCGUGAGGCUCGGGAAUUUUAUGUUGACGGAGGUCACAGGAGAUUCCAGGUGGAACAGGCUUGCCCUCCCCUCCCCUCUCCUGGUGCAGAGGCCUGUGCUUGGGGCUGCCUUUCCCCUAACCGGUCUCCAUCUGGCUUCCCACUCAAGCCAGGCCCGCGACCAAGCUGCACUUGCUCGCACUUGCCCGUGGCCCCUGUGGGUGUUUCCCAGACGGUGGUACUUGCCCUCGGUGCUCCUCUCCUGCCACAAUCCCAGAGAGCUCCGGGCAGCAGCACCCUUUGAGAUGCCACCCCAGAUGGGUUCCGCUGGCCCUUCCCCGCCACCGAGGGGUCAACUCUUGGAAGCUGCAAGGGCAAGAGGGGUCCCCGAGGGUCGCAGACCUGAGCUGCUUACGUGAACGCUCGCUCCAGCACUGACUCAGACAUCGGUUUCUCCAUCUGAUAAAGUGCCUUUGCUCGGAAGCCAGGCCGAGACCAAGAGGACGGCGAGUUUCACUGUAGACGGAGCCACCCUGGAGGUGACAAGCAUGGGGAAGGACGAUCACCUCCUUGCGAAUUAAUUCACCAAGAACUUUGACGCGUAAGCCACCACGAAGGCGCGCCGUCUUGACUCAGAGUGAGACAUUCAGCUGUGCCCUUCGGUGCUGCGCCUCCAAUCCCGGUCGUGAAUAAACAUCUGUAGGAGAUUGGUUUUAUUUUCCGA
rnacentral:lncRNA from 12 species